rnacentral:rRNA from 1 species
GAUCAUGGCUCAGGAUGAACGCUGGCGGCGUGCCUAACACAUGCAAGUCGAACGGAGAUUUAACACUGAUGAGGCUUCGGCGGAAUCUUGUUAAAUCUUAGUGGCGGACGGGUGAGUAACGCGUGGGCAACCUGCCUCAUACUGGGGGAUAACAGUUGGAAACGACUGUUAAUACCGCAUAAGCGCACAGAGUCGCAUGACUCAGUGUGAAAAACUCCGGUGGUAUGAGAUGGGCCCGCGUCUGAUUAGCUAGUUGGUGAGGUAACGGCCCACCAAGGCGACGAUCAGUAGCCGGCCUGAGAGGGUGAACGGCCACAUUGGGACUGAGACACGGCCCAAACUCCUACGGGAGGCAGCAGUGGGGAAUAUUGCACAAUGGGGGAAACCCUGAUGCAGCCGACGCCGCGUGAGUGAAGAAGUAUCUCGGUAUGUAAAGCUCUAUCAGCAGGGAAGAAAAUGACGGUACCUGACUAAGAAGCCCCGGCUAACUACGUGCCAGCCGCUGC